rnacentral:misc_RNA from 1 species
GAUGAAGAACGCAGCGAAAUGCGAUAAGUAAUGUGAAUUGCAGAAUUCAGUGAAUCAUCGAAUCUUUGAACGCACAUUGCGCCCCUUGGUAUUCCGAGGGGCAUGCCUGUUCGAGCGUCAUUAUAACCCCUCAAGCUCAGCUUGGUGUUGGGGUCUGCUGCACUGGCAGCCCUUAAAAUCAGUGGCGGCGCCAUCUGGCUCUAAGCGUAGUAAUUCUUCUCGCUAUGGAGUCCUGGUGGAUGCUUGCCAUCAACCCCCAAUUUUUCUAUGGUUGACCUCGGAUCAGGUAGGGAUACCCGCUGAACUUAAGCAUAUCAAUAAGCGGAGGA